rnacentral:lncRNA from 10 species
CCAUUCCAGAAACAGAAAAGGAAAAGUCCUGUUGUCAAGACCUCCAAGGACAAGAACCAGUGAAGCCUGGUAACAAACACAUUAUGCUUUGAAGAUCUGCCAGUUAACAGCUGUGUGGUCUCUCUCCGAUUAACAUCUCUCAGCCCUUUUUUCACCUUUAUGAGAUGGGGAUUAUAAUACCACAUCCCUUGUAGGGCCAUUGUGAGGAUUGAAUGAGCUAAUGCAUGCCCACGUGCCCACCUCAUGGUGGGAGCAAGCCAUUGCCUCCCCCUCAGAGGACCCAGUGGAGAGAAGGUUGACAGCUUGGCAUUCUCUUUGGAAUGGCUGUUGACUUCGCACUGCCAUCCACAGAAGAGCUCCAUAACCCCACCCAAGGGCACGGAAUGGCCUUUCCUUAAAGGUGAAGCACAACAUCAUUCUCAAGUGCCUUUGCAAAUAACGAAGACCAGAACUGGUCAUUUACCCAGGCCGAGCCAGACCUAUAUGAUACAUCAAAAGCAGAACAGAAAGAAAGGGAAUGAGAGAAUCCAAAUGAGUUUAUUUGUCCAUUAAAUAAAUAUGCAAAAUUAUGCAGAUGUGGAAA